rnacentral:misc_RNA from 1 species
AAGAAUUUAUAGAGUGCACUUUAUUGUGGCUCGACAUUUUCUACCAUUCACCCUAGUGCACCGUAAUACCUUUUUUAUUAUCAUCAUUACUAGACUCUACAAAGUUAAUGAAUGUAACACCUUUUUUUUAUAAAGAAAUA